GAUGGAAAAAUAGCAAAAAAAAUACAGUGAAAAAAUAUGAAUGCGCAUGCGGCCGAGCUCGAAGGGUAGCGCCCAAGUGCAGGAUUAUCAAAGCUCUGCCAGACGGGGAUGGUGACGCCGCCGAUGAGACCUAAUCACAUUCCCGGAUCAUGCCCUCACAACUCUGUUGUGCGCUGCCACGAUGCCAUGCGAAAGAGGAGAAAGAAAAGACCUAACGCUAGAUUCAGCAAGAAGGGGACGAGUGGAGAAACCUUGAGCCUCACCCCAGGAGUUGGAGAAAUUUACAAUUUUUUCCUC
rnacentral:lncRNA from 1 species